rnacentral:ncRNA from 1 species
GUCGGGUAGCCCCGACGCCUUACGGCGCCGAGGCCCCCUCAGAACCGGACGUGCGACUUUCACCGCAUCCGGCUCAA